rnacentral:rRNA from 1 species
GGAGAAUCCCCACUUUGGACUUUGCACUUUUCACUUUUUACUCCGAUUUUGCUUCCGAGCAAAAUCGGGGGAGGAAGGCGAGGAUGACGCCAGGUCAGCAUGGCCCUCUGAUACCCUGGGCUACACACGUGAUACAAUGGCUACUACAACGCGUUGCGACGGGGUAACCCCGAGCUAAUCGUAAUAAAAGUAGCCCCAGUUCAGACUGAGGUCUGCAACUUGACCUCAUGAAGUUGGAAUCGCUAGUAAUCGCGGGUCAGCACACCGCGGUGAAUACGUUCUCAAGUCUUGUACUCGGGUCGCCAUGCGAUCGAGUACGCUAGUUGGUGCUUUAGCACUAAAAAUUAGUGCUAAAAAAUCCAGCCAA